GCUGAAACACCGGUUCUUGUCUGAUCACCAAAGUUAAGCAACAUCAAACCUGGUCAGUACCUAGAUGGGUGACUACUUAGAAAUACCGAGUGCUGUAAG